rnacentral:lncRNA from 1 species
CAAACCUAUGAUUUAAGUACGAGGCUGUGGUCUGGAAAUAGUUAAAGGAUUCGAACGUUUUGGGGAUGGUGACGAAAAGAGUGAGGUUGUAAGUGAAGGUGGUGGUGGUGUUGUUGUAGGAGAAGCUGACCACGUUGGCGUUGCUUACAGAGAAUUUGUGUUUUUUAAUGUCUAUGCUGUCUAGAUACCAGAGUAAACAGACUACAGAAAGGAAAAACAAAGCCAAUAUUAUCAUAAAGGCUGCCACUUUGAUAACCUUCAUUGCCUUGGUUGAAGAUGACAUGAUGAUGA